UACUAGGUUCUGGGAUUUUAUGAUAUGCAUUAUAGAGAUUAUUAUAGGUCGUCAAUGUAAUCGCAAAAGGAAUAGAUUUCCAUGAGACAAAUGUCGGUAUUGUGUAGUUGAUAUCUGUAGAAUGAUAACGUCAGAGGUCCAAAGGAAAUCCCUGUUCAAAACUAAAGCAGUAGCACUGCCGUGUGGUCACAGAGGAAAACACUGAUCUGUACUGGCAUUUGUAACCAUCUGUAACUAUUUGCAAUUGUAACAGUUCCCAUCAAAUAUACAUUUUUCAACAGGCCAUGUGGGUUCAUCGGGGAUCACCCCAUUGGCUCUAAUCCAGUUUAGAUUUGAUUUAUUUAAACGAGAUUAUUUUAGGAUUCUGAGUGACGCAGCGGUCUAAUGAAUUGCAUCGCGGUGCUCGAGGCGUCACUACAGACUCGGGUUACGAUCUCGGGCUGUAUCACAACCGGGCUGUAUCACAACCGGCCGUGGUUGUGAGUCCCAUAGUGCGGCGCACAAUUGACCCAGCGUUGUCCGGGGUAGGCCGUAAUUGUUAAAUAAGAAUUUGUUCUGAAACUGAUUUGCCUAGUUAAAUAAAGGUGAACAAAAAUAUAUAGUGGUUUGCAAACCCGUGAUUUCUCCCAACACGCGGAACGCUUCAGUGAGUGAAAAUACGUUGUUCUGCAACGCUUCUGUCCAACGUGUACACCGCUCCUGUUGUGGGACAUGACGCCGCGCAGGACACGCGUGGUGAAAAUAGUCAUUGGUGUUCAGUAAAAAUGACUACCGCUUCUUCUGAAAUGCAAGCUCCCGCAUUGAGCGAGGAAAACAGUGAAACGUUUACAGAAAAGACCAAGGAGGAAAAGCAACCGGACACCGUUUCAGAUCUGUUAGCAGCGUAGACGCACUGCUGAACAUGGAAGUAAGGGUAGCGGAAUGCGGGCAAGACGGAGAAGAAGGGGACGUGAAACCUGCUGCAGAGACAGAUGAGGAGACUGCGGUGGCGGUGACAGAGGCGACAACAGUCUCAGCAGCAACAGGGGUCGCAGAUGAUGAUGGUGAUGAAGAAAAGACGAUGGGAUGCAAACUUUCUAAAACAGAUGAGGAUUGCUCGGACCCUGAGAAACAGAGUUGCCUAGUGGACGGUGGUGAGAAUAGCGAGACAGUUAAAGAUACGGCGAAGGAAAGUAAACCAGAAGAACAGCGAGAGGAGAGCAAGUCGCCCGUUACAGUGAGUGACUGUGUGGGAAAAAGCAAAGUCCGUGACGAUGCUCCGGAGCCCGGGCAGGAGAAAACAAGCACCAGAGGUGGGGACCGGGAGGAGCUGGCGGUGGGAGACAAGCGGAGGGCCAGCGUAGAGAUGUCAUCAUCGGACGGAGAGCCACUCAGCCGGAUGAAUUCAGAGGACAGGCUCUCAAACGAAUAAGCUCACAGGAAUGCUGACAGUGUCUGCAGUUGAGGCUACAAUUUUUCCAAUAACUAGUUGCUGGUGCUUUCAUCAGCUCAGCUACGCUGUUGCUAUGCAGAUGUGGUGCCCUCCUUCCCGCUGCUGCGCCACAAUCAUAUCCUGAAGGAAAUUUGUUAAUGAUUUGUGAAGCAUAUGCGGAGUGUUGGCUUGCGGAGUGUUGACAUUAGUAACACUUGCUCUUUCCACGAUAUAGACUGACCAGGUGAAAGCUACUAUCCCUUAUUGAGACAGGUUAAAUAAGGAUUUUUAAGCCUUGAGACAAUCGAGACAUGGAUUGUGUAUGUGUUCCAUUCAGAGGGUGAAUGGUCAAGAUAAAAGAUUUAAGUGCCAGACGCACCAGUUUGAGUGAGUCAACAACUGCAUCACUGCUGGGUUUGUCAAUGUCAACAGUUUCCCAUGUUUGUUUAUCAAGAAUGGUCCACCAUCCAAAUGACCAGUGGUUGAAAACAGGUCAUUGAUGAAAGAGGACAAAGGAGGCAGACGGACUACAGUUAGUCAACUGAGAGUCCAGUACAACAUUGGUGCCCAAAGACCCAUAAAAGAAUGCACAACUCGUCGUACCUUGACACCGUACCUUGACACCGUACCUUGACACCGUGCCUUGACACCGUACCUUGACACCGUACCUUGACACCGUGCCUUGACACCGUACCUUGACACCGUACCUUGACACCGUACCUUGACACCGUACCUUGACACCGUACCUUGACACCGUAGACAAUAGAGGUCGACCGAUUCAUCGGAAUGGCCAAUUAAUUAGAGCCGAUUUCAAGUUUUUAUAACAAUCCGUAAUCUGCUUUUUUGGACAUCGAUUAUGGCCGAUUACAUUGCAAUCCACGAGGAGACUGCGUGGCAGGCUGACUACCUGUUACUCCACGAGGAGACUGCGUGGCAGGCUGACUACCUGUUACUCCACGAGGAGACUGCUGACCACCUGUUACUCCACGAGGAGACUGCGUGGCAGGCUGACCACCUGUUACUCCACGAGGAGACUGCUGACCACCUGUUACUCCACGAGGAGACUGCGUGGCAGGCUGACCACCUGUUACUCCACGAGGAGACUGCAUGGCAGGUACUACCUGUUUACUCCACGAGGAGACGGCGGGGCAG
ensembl:lncRNA